UGGAGUAGAACAUGAUUAUGGUACUGAGUAAGUACACUAGACAAGUUGUGUUUUCUCUUAUUCUGAACUAUGUGUUUAAGGUAUUUGAUUUUCUCUCAUUGUGUGAGCAUUGUAUGCUCAAAGGAGGAAGUUGUUCUGGAAAAAUACAACUAAGUCUAUGCAUUAAGUGUGAAGUUGUUUUAAAAAUAUUAAAGGUGCUAAUCAGCUGAAAGCACAGUCUAAUUUGUUUCCUGUUUGUUUUCUUAGUAUUUGACACUGUUUGUCAUUUUAACACCAAGAACUUGGGUCACAGGAGAGAAAGUUGCGCUUUGGUCAAAGCAGCAGCAAACAGAGUGUAUGAUCUAUUUGUGACGGGUGACAGCCUCCUCCCUUACAGCCUGUGUAUAUUGUAUUUUCUGGACAUUAUAUAAGGAACUCAGUGUCAGCAGGUUGCAGCUUCAGAGAAUUUCCUUCACUGAAGACAUUUUCACCAACUGGUGCCGACAAUCUCCUGCCUGGACCACAGCCGGUGAAUCAACCAACCAACAAACCAACCAACCACUCAUCAGUGAACCAUGAAGAUCCAAACUGCCUGUCUGCUUCUCGUGCUGAUCUCUGCCACAGCGCUCACUGAGGCUCUGGACUUCUAUCAGAAGCAUGUUGACAAUCAGAUGACAGGCAAUAACUGUGAUACAAAAAUGGAGCCAAUCAAUGAGGACUACGAGGAGUAUCAUGGAGAAGAAUGCAAGCCAAUAAAUACCUUCAUCGUGAGCAAUGAUGAAGAAGUUGACGCCCUCUGUAAUAAUGUACGUGGAGAACGUAAAAUCACAAGUGGGCGAGUCUUUACAGUUGUUAUUUGUAGGUUUGACUAUAUUGACAUAGGUUGUCACUACAGGGGUAAAACUAUAAACAAUUAUGCAAUUACAAUCAUAUGUAAAAAUGGAAAGCCUGUGCACUAUGUAGGAUAAAUAGGGAAAACAAAUUAACGUUUUGCUGUAAUGAUUUUAAACAGCAAUUUACAAAUUCUGCUAAACAAUAGAGAAUUUAUUGUAAGAUUACAGACAAAUGUUCGGCCCAUAAAUAACAGAAUAAAUCUACAAAUACACAAAUGAUAAUUUCACUGUUUUAAAUGAGCUCUUUAUACUUUUAUUUAACCGUUUCCUGUAAACAGCUUUAUUGUAUAAAACCUGCGACAUAUAUGAUGAUUGAAAAUGCCAAAAAUCAAACCACAAAUAAAGUGAAUUCAACACA